rnacentral:rRNA from 1 species
AAUGAACGCUGGCGGCGUGCUUAACACAUGCAAGUCGAACGAGAAAGUUCCCUUCGGGGGAUGAGUAGAGUGGCGCACGGGUGAGUAAUGCGUGGGAAUCUACCUGGUAGUGGGGGACAACAGUUGGAAACGACUGCUAAUACCGCAUACGCCCUACGGGGGAAAGCGGGGGAGUCUUCGGACCUCGUGCUAUCAGAUGAGCCCGCGUGAGAUUAGCUAGUUGGUGGGGUAAAGGCCUACCAAGGCGACGAUCUCUAGCUGGUCUGAGAGGAUGAUCAGCCACACUGGGACUGAGACACGGCCCAGACUCCUACGGGAGGCAGCAGUGGGGAAUAUUGGACAAUGGGCGCAAGCCUGAUCCAGCCAUGCCGCGUGUGUGAAGAAGGCCUCGGUU